rnacentral:lncRNA from 1 species
CGCCGGCUGUUUGUACUCCAGGAGAUCUCACGGGAUCCUGGUCGUUUUUGUUCCGGGGUGACCUCGGGGCCCCGCCGGCUGUUUGUCUUCUCAGUUUGGUUCAUGGUGUCAGGAAAUCUAGGGGAUCCUGUACACCUACCUCCCUGAGGUCCUGCGCAAGAUUCGGGCUCUGUGGCCUUACUGUCGCUUCGUCUUCUCAGUUUGGUUCAUGGUGUCAGGAAAUCUAGGGGAUCCUGUACACCUACCUCCCUGAGGUCUUGUUCCUCUAAGGGGUCUCUCCGAGCCCUGUUCUUUCUUUGUCAUGGAGGAGUAUUAUUCAUAAAGAUAAUCUUAUUGUGUAAACAAUUUGUUUCCUUCAUAUUUAUCAGAAUACAAUGUUUUUCUUUACAACUAUAUCAGGGGAAAUACCUCUUUAGGUGUUGAAUAUUCCAAGCGUGGGGCUCAUGGUUCCCUUGCAUAUCUUCAAUCCGGUAUACUCCUGGCCGGACUACUUUUGUUACCUUGAACGGGCCCUCCCAGGUCGGUGCUAGCUUACCAGCUGCCGCCCUUUUUCCUGUGGCUUCCAGGUUUCUUAAGGCCAGGUCUCCCACUUUCAAGCUUCUUUCUCUGACCUUUUGGUUGUAGUAUCGUGCUGCUCGUUGUUGAUAGGCGGCAGUUCGGAUUUGAGCUUCUUCCCUGAUUUCCUCAAGGGCAUCCAGGUUGCUUCUUAGCUUGUCGUCGUUAGUGCUCUCACUAGCAAAUUGGACUCGAUGAGUAGGAAUCCGCAACUCAACUGGGACUACGGCCUCUGUACCAUAGGCAAGUGCAAAGGGCAUUUCUUUAGUGGGUGCUCUAGGGGUGGUUCGGAGUGCCCACAGGAUGCUGUUGAGCUCUUCUGCCCAAUUUGCCUUUGCCCCAUCUAGCCGCUUUUUUAAUCCUUGUAGGAUGGCUCUGUUGGUGACCUCUGUUUGGCCGUUAGUUUGAGGAUGAGCCACAGAGGAGAAUUUAUGCCAGAUACCCAUGUUCGUUGUGAAAGCUCUGAAGGUGCUGCAAUCAAACUGUCUGCCAUUAUCUGAAAUAAGCACUCUGGGUACACCAAAUCUGCAGAUGAUAUGUCCCCACACAAAAUCUAUCAUCUUUCGAGCUGUAAUUGUGGCUAUUGCUUCCGCCUCUGGCCAUUUUGAGAAGUACUCUACAGCCACCACUACAAAUUUCCUCUGCCCCGUAGUCUUGGGGAAAGGUCCCAGGAUGUCAAUUCCCCAUUGCGAGAAAGGCCAUGGACUGGAUAUGCUGGCUUGAGGAGUGGCUGGAGUUUUGAUGGCAUUAGCAAAUCUCUGGCAUACGUCGCAUAUUCGGACGAACUCUUCUGCUUCUUUUUUAACAGUGGGCCAAUAAUACCCUUGCCUGAAUACUUUAUUAGCUAAUGUCCCUCCUCCCUCGUGGGCUCCACACAUGCCUCUAUGUAUUUCUUCCAUCACCUUCGUAGCCUCUUCCGGGCUCACGCAUCGGAGCCACGGACUGGAC